GAAACAAGUUCUCUUCGGAGAAUUGUUGGAGUGCUUUGGCUUUUUUCUUCCCCUCUCUCCUAACGGAAGAAGGGAGUGGUGUUCCCCGCUGCUUACACCAAGUGAGAGAGGUACUUUAAGGAAACUACUUGAAGAGCUUUACAUGCGCCUUCUUGAGUUUGAAGAGUAUGAGAACUGAUCCUUUCAUUCAGGAGGCAUCUCCCUGGAGACUGAGUAGAUGGUAGGAGUCCCCUGGGGUGCUGUCAGCUCCACUCGCUGAACCUCUGGAGAAAGGCCAAAAUACUAGAUGGAUCCCUGUGGAAUGACAGUUGUCAUUGCAGGCAGGCUCGGUUUGCCGGUUGCUGCUGAGUGCUGCCUUUCGUGCUUACGGACUGUCAGAAAAGGAAACAGGGAAACAGCCUCCAGACAACAGCUACUCAAUUCUCAGUUCGCAGGAAUUGUAAAUCACUCGUGGAGAUUCUCUCAGCACAUCUGGAAUCACACGACAGCUGUCUGAACUGCUCAUGGAUAAUGCUAAUCCAGAACCACAGGUGCUGCAAUGGAGGGCGUCAUGGGUGUGCCUUUGAGACCAACUAUCUGGUUAUUCGUCCUUCUCUCCUUGGUAGCCAGUUCUCUGCACACAGCUGCAUCACUGACGAAGGCUGGCAUGGCUCUGAUUUGCUUCAGGAUUUCUGACCUUUCUUAGGACAGCGGCCACUAGCCACAUGUGACUGCUGCGCACUUGAACUCCAGCCGGUUCCCACUGAGGGCUGCUGCAAGUGUGAAACACACGGUGGAUUUUG
rnacentral:lncRNA from 1 species